rnacentral:rRNA from 1 species
GAUGAACGCUAGCGGCGGGCCUAAUACAUGCAAGUUGAACGGGAUUGUUGGUAGCAAUUAUUGACAUGAGAGUGGCGCACGGGUGCGUAACACGUAUGUAACCUACCUUUAACUGGGGCAUAGCUUCGAGAAAUCGAAAUUAAUACCCCAUAACAUUUAGAAAAGGCAUCUUUUCUUUAUCAAAGCUCAGGCGGUUAAGGAUGGACAUGCGGUGCAUUAGCUUGUUGGUGAGGUAACGGCUCACCAAGGCUACGAUGCAUAGGGGGUCUGAGAGGAUGAUCCCCCANACUGGUACUGAGACACGGACCAGACUCCCUACGGGAGGCAGCAGUAGGGAAUAUUGGGCAAUGGACGAAAGUCUGACCCCAGCCACGCCGCGUGAAGGAUGAAUGCCCUCUGGGUUNUAAACUUCUUUUGUAUGGGGAAGAAAAUUCCGAACGUGUUCGGAGCUGACGGUACCAUAAGAAUAAGCAUCGGCUAACUCCGUGCCAGCAGCCGCGGUAAAG